rnacentral:rRNA from 1 species
AACCUCCGCAAUGUGAGAAAUCGCGACGGGGGGAUCCCAAGUGCCAUUCUUAACGGGAUGGCUUUUCAUUAGUGUAAAGAGCUUUUGGAAUAAGGGCUGGGCAAGACCGGUGCCAGCCGCCGCGGUAACACCGGCAGCUCUAGUGGUAGCAGUUUUUAUUGGGCCUAAAGCGUCCGUAGCCGGUUUAAUAAGUCUCUGGUGAAAUCCUGUAGCUUAACUGUGGGAAUUGCUGGAGAUACUAUUAGACUUGAGACCGGGAGAGGUUAGAGGUACUCCCAGGGUAGAGGUGAAAUUCUGUAAUCCUGGGAGGACCACCUGUGGCGAAGGCGGCUAACUGGAACGAACCUGACGGUGAGGGACGAAAGCCAGGGGCGCGAACCGGGAUUAGAUACCCGGGUAGUCCUGGCCGUAAACGAUGCGGACUUGGUGUUGGGAUGGCUUUGAGCCGCUCCGGUGCCGAAGGGAAGCUGUUAAGUCCGCCGCCUGGGAAGUACGGUCGCAAGACUGAAACUUAAAGGAAUU